rnacentral:rRNA from 1 species
AUUGAACGCUGGCGGCAGGCUUAACACAUGCAAGUCGAGCGGGGGAAGGUAGCUUGCUACCGGACCUAGCGGCGGACGGGUGAGUAAUGCUUAGGAAUCUGCCUAUUAGUGGGGGACAACAUCUCGAAAGGGAUGCUAAUACCGCAUACGUCCUACGGGAGAAAGCAGGGGAUCUUCGGACCUUGCGCUAAUAGAUGAGCCUAAGUCGGAUUAACUAGUUGGUGGGGUAAAGGCCUACCAAGGCGACGAUCUGUAGCGGGUCUGAGAGGAUGAUCCGCCACACUGGGACUGAGACACGGCCCAGACUCCUACGGGAGGUAGCAGUGGGGAAUAUUGGACAAUGGGGGGAACCCUGGUCCAGCCAUGCCGCGUGUGUGAAGAAGGCCUUAUGGUUGUAAGGCACUUUAAGCGAGGAGGAGGCUACUCUAGUUAAUACCUAGGGAUAGUGGACGUUACUCGCAGAAUAAGCACCGGCUAACUCUGUGCCAGCAGCCGCAGUAA